GACGAACGCUGGCGGCGGGCUUAACACAUGCAAGUCGAACGGAAAGGCCCUGCUGUUGUGGGGUGCUCGAGUGGCGAACGGGUGAGUAACACGUGAGUGACCUGCCCUUGACUGGGGGAUAACUUCAGGAAACUGGGGCGAAUACCGGGUGGGAGCUCCUGCUGCAUGGUGUGGGUUGGAAAGUUUCGGCGGUUGGGGAGGGACUCGCGGCUUAUCAGCUUGUGGGUGGGGUAGUGGCUUACCAAGGCUUUGACGCGUAGCCGGCCUGGGAGGGGGACCGGCCACAUUGGGACUGAGAUGCGGCCCAGACUCCUACGGGAGGCAGCAGUGGGGAAUAUAGCACAAUGGGCGGAAGCCUGAUGCAGCAACGCCGCGUGCGGGAUGACGGCCUUCGGGUUGUAAACCGCUUUCGCCUGUGACGAAGCGUGAGUGACGGUAAUGGGUAAAGAAGCACCGGCUAACUACGUG
rnacentral:rRNA from 1 species